rnacentral:tRNA from 1 species
UGGCUGAGUGGUAAAGCGCUUGGUUUCCGAACCAGAGGCCCUGGGUUCAAAUCCUGG